GUUGGAUUCGGAGACAUGGUUCCCAAAACCUACCUGGGAAUGCUCGUUGGAUCCCUGUGUGCCCUGAUGGGUGUGCUCACAAUUGCUCUGCCGGUUCCUGUAAUUGUUUCCAAU
rnacentral:sRNA from 16 species